AGGCUUUUACAGUGUAUACACUAAAAUAGGAAUGAUUCAGAGAAGAUUAGCAUGGCCCUUUGUGCAGAGAAGACACAAAUUUAUAAAGUGUUCAUGGUUUUA